UACGUAGGGGGCUAGCGUUGUCCGGAAUCAUUGGGCGUAAAGAGCGUGUAGGCGGCCCGGUAAGUCCGCUGUGAAAGUCGGGGGCUCAACCCUCGGAUGCCGGUGGAUACUGUCGGGCUCGAGUACGGAAGAGGCGAGUGGAAUUCCUGGUGUAGCGGUGAAAUGCGCAGAUAUCAGGAGGAACACCUAUUGCGAAGGCAGCUCGCUGGGACGUUACUGACGCUGAUGCACGAAAGCUAGGGGAGCAAACAGG
rnacentral:rRNA from 1 species